UGCUUCUCUUCCUUUUUCUCCCUCUUUUUGUUUCAAUGAAACUCUAGUAUUUAUAGGCUAAUAUUGGUAUCUUAGUGGGCUUUUGAGAGAGGUCCAAGUUUGAGAUUUUUUCUUUUAUUUAUUUAUUUAUUUAAUUAUUUAUUUAUUUAAUUUUAUUUUUUUUCGUUUUCCGUUUUUUUUCGUUUAUUAUUUUUUUUUUUUUUUGAAAAAAUAUUCCGAUUGCCAUGAUGAAAUGCAAAUGCUAAAUGAC
rnacentral:lncRNA from 1 species